rnacentral:rRNA from 1 species
GCCGGCCAGCUGGACGGUUCCUGACGCUGAGGCACGAAAGCGUGGGGAGCAAACCGGAUUAGAUACCCGGGUAGUCCACGCCGUAAACGAUGGGUGCUAGGUCUGGGGAGGAAACUCUCUGGGCCGAAGCUAACGCGUUAAGCACCCCGCCUGGGGAGUACGGCCGCAAGGCUGAAACUCAAAGGAAUUGACGGGGGCCCGCACAAGCGGUGGAGCACGUGGUUUAAUUCGAUGCAAAGCGAAGAACCUUACCUGGGCUUGACAUGCCAGGGUUGUACCCCGGUGGAAACACUGGGGGAGCGUGGGUUUUUACUCACGCGCUCUGGCACAGGUGCUGCAUGGCUGUCGUCAGCUCGUGCCGUGAGGUGUUGGGUUAAGUCCCACAACGAGCGCAACCCCUGCCCUUAGUUGCCACCGGAUAAAGCCGGGCACUCUAAGGGGACUGCCGGGGAUAACCCGGAGGAAGGAGGGGAUGACGUCAAGUCCUCAUGGCCCUUAUGCCCAGGGCUACACACGUGCUACAAUGGGGGGUACAGAGGGUUGCGAACCCGCAAGGGGGAGCUAAUCCCAGAAAGCCCUCCUCAGUUCGGAUCGGGGUCUGCAACUCGACCCCGUGAAGCCGGAAUCGCUAGUAACGGCGGAUCAGCAUGCCGCCGUGAAUACGUUCCCGGGCCUUGUACACACCGCCCGUCA